rnacentral:rRNA from 1 species
CUUCGGUCAUAGAUUAAGCCAUGCAAGUGUUAGUUCAGGCAACGAAACUGCGAACAGCUCAUUAAUACGCUCAGAACCUAUUUGGUUUCGGCCCGCUGGGGUCCAACACGGAUAGCAGCAGUAAUUCUGGUGCUAAUACGUGCAGUUUAACCACCUGAGAUGACGUAAGGUGAGGACAUGACCAUUAGGCGUACCAUACGGUUGAGUGCCCUAUCAGCUUGUACGUAGUGUCUCUUACUAUGUAGGCGGUCACGGGUAACGGGCGGUUAUCGUCGGACUGCCGGAGAAGGCGCCUGAGAGACAGCGACUAUUUCCAUGGAAAGCAGCAGGCGCGAAACUUCCCCACUCAAAAAGCUUGGAGGGGGUCACCGCUCGUUGAACCUCGUCGCAAGACAGGGUCAUAGGAUUGUAUGUAAAAUGUACAGUGGAACCUAGGAGAUGGCCAGUCUGGUGCCAGCAGCUGCGGUAAGUCCAGCUCUCCGAGUUUGCUCCCAAUGCUACACUUAAAACGCCCGUAGUCUGAGUGAGAAGCGCGAAUAGCGCGUUCACCGUGAAUAAAUCAGGAUGCUUAGAGUAGUUGACAACUGAAUGACUAAGCUCGGUAUGAAAUCUUUACCCGUAUGGGUGAGAUCAAUGAGAGCCAUCGGGGCCUGACCUACCUGGUGGCGAGGGGCGGAAUCUGUUGACCCGCCGGGGAGGAACGAAUGCGAAGGCAUCAGGCUAGAGGGUAUCUGUCGAUCAAGGGCGAGAGCCGCAGUAGCCAACCGGAUUAGAGACCCGGGUAGUUGCGGCCUUAAACGAUGCCGACAGGGCCUCGUCUGUAGAGGCGGGGUCCUAGGAGAAAUCAUAGUCUCUGGGCUGUGGGGGAACUACGACCGCAAGGCUGAAACUUGAAGGAAUUGACGGAAGGGCACACCAGGGGUGGAGCUUGUGGCUCAAUCUGACUCAACACGGAGAAACUUACCAGGACCAGAUAUUUUUUAAUGACUGACCAGCUAAAGACUGUUCAGGAUAUGAUUUUUGGUGGUGCAUGGCCGUUGGUGGUGCGUGGAUUGAUCUGUCAUGCGUCGAUUCAGAUAACGAGCGAGACUACCACCGAUUACCUAGACCACUCUACUCUCGUAGAGCUGGUCUUCUAAUCGGGACUCCCUGCGUCUCAAGCAGGCGGAAGAGGGUAGCAAUAACAGGUCCGUGAUGUCCUUUAGAUGCUCUGGGCUGCACGCGCGCUACAAUGCUGUGGUCAAAGGGUUGCAAAACCGAGAGGCUAUGCUACUCCCGUAAUCCGCAGCGUAGUUAGGAUCGAGGGUUGUAAUCACCUUCGUGAAUCAGGAAUCCCUUGUAAGCGUGUAUCAACAGUGAACGUUGAAUACGUCCCUGCCCUUUGUACACACCGCCCGUCGCUCCUACCGAUUGGAUGGAUCGGUGAAACUAUCGGAGGCUUCGGUCAAAGGUAGUUGAGCCCAUCGAUUUAGAGGAAGGAGAAGUCGUAACAAGG